CUCCUUUUGUUCUCUUCAAUUGUUAAUCUAAUUUUUGUUUCCCAGAUCUUUUCUAGGUUCUAUUAUUGAUUCUUUGUGUGUGUUGGAGUGACUGCAAAAAUCACAACCUGUACUAUAUGGAUUCUGAACAAUACAUCUCCCAAAUAAGAGCGUUGCCAGGCUGGACCAGCUGGCUCUCUUCUGUUCCUAAAACUGUAUGUUCUUAGACACACUUCCUCCAUCCCUUCUGCUGCUGGCGAACUUAGUGUAGCACAAUGUCACUCUCACAAUCACAUGGAAACAGACUCCUGGAGGAACAAAAAGGAGGGACCCUGCGGCCCUACUGCAGCUCUACUGCAGCCCUGUAUUUCUGACUGCAUAAUUGGAAUGGACAUACUUAAACAUCACCACAGAGCACUCACCAAUGCUAGAUGAGCACCCACAUUAUAG
rnacentral:lncRNA from 1 species